CUACAUUUAACUAAGAAAAUGAGGUGAAUGUCUGUGUCCUGACAUGUACACACAUCAUGAUAUAUUAAAUUUAAAAAGCCAGAGAAAGGGAGUUCCUGUUGUGACUCAGUGGAAACAAACCCCACUAGUAUCCAUGAGGAUGUGGGUUCAAUCCCUGGCCUUGCUCAGUGGCUUAAGGAUCCAGUGUUGCCGUGAGUUGUGGUGUAGGUUCGAAGACCUAGCUCGGAUCUGGUGUUGCCAUGGCUGUGGUGUAUGCCAGCAGCUGUAGCUCUGAUUUGACCCUUAGCCUGGAACUCCAUAUACCACGGGUGCAGCUGUAAAAGACCAAAGACAAAAAAAAUAAAAAAAAUAAAAAAAUAAAAUAAAAAUUUCCUCCGUGCCUUUAUCACUGCCUGGAAAUCCUGAGGGCAAAUGUGCUUUGUAAAUACCAAGUUGCUGGUGGCCAUGGUGUGCAGAAAAUUGGAAAAUAGAGAUGGUUCAGUUCAUGGUUGAAAGAAAGCAGAGAUUAGGCCAUUCCUCUAAAUACCCCAAACAGGAAAUUCCAAAGAGGAAGUUGCGUUUUAUUAAAACUCAGUCCUUAGGGAUUUCAGGUAGCUGGCCUGCUAGGAACGGCAGAGUACAGCCAAGCCAGAGAAAGCCUCCCUUCACUAGAAAGAAAUAGUCAGGUUCUCCUAGGAAAUACCCUUGUCUUCAGCCUUUAUUUCUGUUUGCCGGAUCCAGAGGGUCAGGUUCUUUUAGAAGCAGCUGCUUUCAUCUAGACUUUCAGUCAGUGAGAAUUUGGGUGCACCAGGCCAUGCUGGGGUUUGGUUAAUUUCAUGCCGAUUGAGAACAUGGUACUUCAGGGAGCUCAGGAGUCAGUGGGAGAGCCUUCUGUGGGAAUCGCCACCUUACCACAUGGGCUGUGCCCACAGAGAGCCCCGAGGAGCCAGGAGCCUGCUGAAAUCCCAGACCCACACUUGGUACUUGAACAAGGUGCUUUUCUUCUUUGUGCUUGGUUGUACAGUGGGGUUAAUAUCGGCACCCACUUCCUAGAGUUAUUGUAGAGACUUAAUGAAAUAAUAAAUGUGAGGUGAGGGCUUAGCCUUGAGUCUAAGCAUUUGCUCCAUGACAGGGAAGAUUAUUUCUCAGUUAAGGUAUUGUUGUAGCGUUGACAGUUAAUGUGCUUUAGGGGGUGGAUUGAGAACCACAGUAAUGUAUGGGUAAAGUUAGCACAUCCUUUAUUGCACAGCUACUGUGUGUUAAGUGCUUUGCUCAGGGCUUGUAGAGUCUGACUUGUUCAGUCCCAUCAGACCCUGGCGAUGUAGGGAUUAUCAUGCCCUUUGUGUAAAUGAAGGCUCAGAGAUGUCCAGGAGGUCAGCAAAAAAAAAAAAAAAAAAAAAAAAAAAGUCAGAAUUCAGAUAUUCCAUAUUUCUAGAGUCAUAGUAAGUGCUGCCCAACAUCCUGGGCAGCCAUUUCAGCUUAUUCUCUAGCUCUGUGUCUGUUCUUUUUGCUCUAGCACUGGGGCACUUCUUGCCUACUUUUUUUCAUAGAAAAUGGCUCAGUUUGUCUUGUGGGGAUGCUGCCAGGGAAGAUAUAGCCCAGGGUCAAAGGAGGGGAAGGUGCAUUGUGCAAACAGGGUUCUCUGGGGUCUGAAUCUUGCUUCUAGAGUAAAAUCUCUGUGAUCUCUCCACUUCUCUUUACCCUCUUUUUUCUAACCUUGUGUGUAACCUGCUUAAAACCUGUCAGGGGCUUCCCUCUGUUCUUAGGAUCAAAUCCUUCAUGGAUUUACAGGAGCCUGCAUGGUCUGGCCCAUGACUCUCUUGCGGUCUCAUUUUGCACAGGCUGUUCCCUAUAGUUCCUUUAAUGUAUGGUGUUGCUUCUCACCACAAGGCCUUUGCAUAUGCCUCUCCCCCUCCCUUCCUUACCUGAUGUCUUUUCAUCCUGCAGAUCUCAAUGGUAUCAUCCGUUUUUCCAGGGAGCCAUCCCUAGCAGGGUUUGAUGUCCUUGUUUUAUACUCUCAGGAGACCACAUGCUUCCCUUUUACAGCACCCAUCACACUUUUUAUGUUGUACUUUUAUGUGUAGCUAUGGUUGUAAGAGUUGCGUCUGUUCCCCAAGGCCAAACUCUAAGCUACCUGAGGGUCUGGAGUGUUCUGUUUUUUCCAUCAGUGCCGUAUCCACAGUCCCUGUCAGGGACGGUGCCCAUGUGCUUUGGAGACUAAAGGAAGAACUAAAGAGAAGACAGAACCCUCUGGGUUCAGCAAAUUGUGUAGGGCGCCACAAGUAAACCAUAUACAUUGUGAAUGUGGAUGUGAACCACUGGGGGAUGCAGAUUCUGAUUCAGUAGACCCAGGUCGGCAGCUCCAACAUGCUCCCUGAUGCUGGUCUUGGGACCCCACUUAAUAGUAAGAGUCUGUGCAGCCAAAUCAGAUCCAGAGAACAGGUGUGGCUGGUGUGCCUAUGUUCCUCCCCAGUUUUGUACCUUUCAUUCUCUUUUGCUCCUGGGGAAAGUGUAACAAAUUCGCAGACACAGCUACCCCUGCACUGUGGCUUGUCUCAUUUAGCUGUUCUCUGUUUUCCUUACUUGUCUGCAGUCUCUUUUUUCUUGUGUGUCAAGCUCAUCCCCACCACAUCCCAACGCCUGUAAUGAAUGAAUGGUCCUGAAAUGUUUCCUCUGAAACAACACUGCAGCCGUAGACCUGAUCACUGCUUGGGAUGCAGUUAAGGAAUUUUCCCUCUGAAUUACGUUGUUGGUCUCAUGCCAGUACAUUUAUGCAGCUGAGUUUCUGGGUCCUCUCUUCUCUUCCCCAUCAGGAUUGGACUGCAUCUCUGACAUGUGCUCUGUGUGAAGGCUUUGGAGGCAACUCCUGGUUUCUCAGGCACCAAUUAUGUUCUGAGCGUAUGGCUCAACUUUUCUGCUUCUCGAUUUCCCAACCCUCUUGUUUGCAACUUGAUUCUUGCCUGUGAAUUAAUCAUCUAGGAGAGGAGGUGGUGACUCACUGGGAAGAUGGGAAUGCCACUGUGACCUGGAGUUUAGAAGGGAUAAUCAGAUAGAACUGAUAAAGCUUUACCAGGCUUGCCACAGGCUCUCUCUCCUCCCCUGACCCUAGAAUCCGUCCUCUGCACUGUGCCUGGAGCUUUGUUGAGCUCAAUAUGGUUUACAGGAAGUCCAUGUUCUUUAAAGAUAAAACUGCUGAGCUAAAAACAAACCAGAACAAAAUUUAAAAAUGUGUAAUCCUGGAGUUCCCAUCAUGGCUCAGUGGUUAACAAACCUGAUUGGUAUCUAUCAUGACGUGGGUUUGAUCCCUGGUCUUUCUCAGUCGGUUGAGGAUGCAGCAUUGCCAUGAGCUGUGCUGUAGGUUGCAGAUGUGGCUCAGAUCCUGAGUUGCUGUGGCUGUGGUGUAGGCCACCAGCUGCAGCUCCAGUUGGACCCCUAGCCAGGGAACCUCCAUGUGCUGUGGGUGCAGCCUUAAAAAGACAAAAAAACCCACAAAAAACCAAAAAAAUAUAUAAUCCUGUUCUCCGGUCAUAUUUAUGGGUCUAUGUGUUCAGAUGUUUUUAUUUUCUGUUCUUUAAACAACAUCAUUAGAACAUCAUUAGAAACUCCCUGAAGUCCUGGUACCAUAAGAUGGUUGGUGUUAAACACACGCAAAAAGCUUUACUUCAGCUUCAUCUGGGGUUUAGCAUUUGCUUAAAAUAAGUCAUUUGAGUUUGAUGUAGGUAUACACACAUAUACACACAUCCAAAUAAAUAAAUAAGUGUAGCUAUCUAUAAACACAUAUAUACAUACUCGUAUAUAUUUGUGUUGCAAUGACGUUUUGAGAAGUUUUUAAGACUUUAAAUCUCGAAAUAAAAUCCUUGGCAGUUUUCUCUCUUCUAAGGUGGGAACCCCCUCCCCCCUGCACUGGCUCCCUGCCCCUGUGGCAUGUGGAAGUUCCUGAGCCAGGAUUAAACCUGUGCCCUGGCAGUAACCCGAGCUGCUGCAGUGACAACUCUGGAUCCUUAACCCACUGCACCACAAGAGAACUCCUGGAAUUCCUUUUAUUUCCAGUCCACCCACUGGCUGUAAUUUUUCAGCCUCUUUCAAGUUAAUCUCAUUUGCUGAUGUUAUUUGCAUAGUGACACAGAUGCUUCCUUUUCUGCUGGCUGGUUCUGGCCUGGUGAAUAGCUGUCCUCAGGAGCAGUUGAUGGUAAGGGCUAAAGGAAUCUGUGUAAGUAUGUAUUUGCUUGGUAGUGUGAUGCAGUGGCGAUUGCAAGGUUUAGUGAGAGGCAGAAGUGAGUUGUCACUUUUUGAGUUACUGAUCCUUCUAAGCCUCAUUUUUAUCAGCUCUAUUGAUCCCAAGGAGAUCUAGGGAUCCUAAGUGACUGAUUCUUAGAGCAGUGUCUCAGGCAAACAGAGUAUAGGGGGCCAACAGUAGAAGUGGUUCCAGUCUUGUGACUACCACUUUUUUUUUUUCUUUUUUGGCUGCCCUGUGGCAUAUCGAGUUCCUGGGCCAGGCAUCAGAUUCCAGCUGCAGUUGCAACCUGUGCUGCACCUGUGACAACACCGGAUCCUUUGACCCACUGUGCCGGCCUGGGUAUCAAACCUGCAUCCUGGCGCUGCAAAGACGCUGCCAUUCCCGUUUGUGCCACAGUAGGAACUCCUCUUGAGGAACAUUUAGAAGAACUCAGGUGAUUCCUUUCUGCAAUGUUUUCCUUCUCUGACAGUUUGUCUUCAGUCCUAUUCUUUGUACCUGGUAGAUGCCUUGAAGGUCUUCUUAUUGUAUGUUCCUUAUUCGAUACCAAGUCUCUCCUUGACCUCAUGUGACCCUUCCUCUCCUUCUCUCUCUCUUCCUUUAUCUUUCAGCUGCUGUUUUCUUGUCUCUCUUUGCUUUUCCCUCCACCACGCUAACAUACUGAUCGCCUCAAUAUGCACAGUAACAACAAUACCUAGAGUAAGAGGCAAGGAGAUCUUUUUAGAAUUGGGUUAGUGCUGCAUUGCAGAUGCCAAAGAUUUUCUUAGUAGGUGAAGGGAGGCAAAGAGGCUGUGAAUAUUGAUUGUUGAACAAGUAGGAGUGGCCCUGUUGCUUACAAAACAAGGAUCUGAGCUUUAGAUCUGAUGGUGAUGGUGCUCCUGAUUAGUGAUGGCUCUGGAAACCUGAAAGGUGGACCUAUUACAUCCUUAAAACUGAAGAAGAGGAGUUCCUGUUGCGGCUCGGUGGUUACGAACCCAACUUAUAUCCAUGAGGAUGUGGGCUCGAUCUCUGGCCUCACUCAGUGGGUUAAGGAUCCAGUGUUGUGAGCUGUGGUGUAGAUCACAGAUGCAUGUGGCUGUGGCUGUGGCUGGCAGCUGUAUCUCUGAUUCGAGCCCUAGCCUGGAAACUUCCAUAUGCUGCAGGUGCAUCCCUAAAAAGAAAAAA
rnacentral:lncRNA from 1 species